GUAGGUGGCAAGCGUUGUCCGGAAUUAUUGGGCGUAAAGCGCGCGCAGGUGGUUCUUUAAGUCUGAUGUGAAAGCCCCCGGCUCAACCGGGGAGGGUCAUUGGAAACUGGGGAACUUGAGUGCAGGAGAGGAAAGUGGAAUUCCACGUGUAGCGGUGAAAUGCGUAGAUAUGUGGAGGAACACCAGUGGCGAAGGCGACUUUCUGGCCUGUAACUGACACUGAGGCGCGAAAGCGUGGGGAGCAAACAGGAUUAGAUACCCUGGUAGUCCACGCCGUAAACGAUGAGUGCUAAGUGUUGAGGGGUUUCCCGCCCCUCAGUGCUGCAGCUAACGCAUUAAGCACUCCGCCUGGGGAGUACGGUCGCAAGACUG
rnacentral:rRNA from 1 species